UUCUUACAUAUCUGGCGUGCCAGCCCUGCGUAUUUUUUCCUGACCUUUGCCCUCCAGCUUGCUCAGGGGGAAGGGCAGAUAUAUCUGUACACUUUUUGCAAACUGUCGGGAGAGAAUUAAGAAAGAACCUUUGAGGAUACAGACUUUCAGAUUUUAUUGGAACCAAAAGUGCUAAAAGACGCUAUUGACGGCAGACGCAAGAAAGCCAUACAGCGUGAUACAACACCCACUCAAGGAGAGUUCACUAAACAGGGAACAAAGUUCUGCAAGAAAAUGGAGGAACAAAACUGUUUACUAUUGGACAGAGAACCUCCAAAGAAACAGCAAUACAAGAAGCGUGACAUCAAGAUAGCGUGCUACAUAUUACUUCCAUGGUUGUUGGUGCUGAGUUUUUUGAUAGCUGUAUUGUUUGAUCUGUACCAGAAGCCAAUUGGAAUUGAUGAUCCGACAAAGGAUUUACCACAGGAGACAUUGUUAUCACAUAAAAUAAGAGAAGUUCAGGUGGAUCAACUCCUGAUAUCAGACAUUGAUACAUCAAGAGACAUUGUUGGACGAAUUAGAUUAAUUAUGGUUAAGAUAUACAGAUUUUGUAUUUGAUGGGGAAAAUCUGGAACAAUUAGAUGUUUCAGCUUGUCUUCAUUUUGUUUCCAAAGUAAUAUGUCUUCCAGGGCAAGAAAAAGUUGUCUAUCAUUCUUGUUUUCACAAUCAUUCAUCAUGUGAGGCUAGGAUUGAAAGUGUUACAUCUAUGCAUGAAUUAAUGACUCAAGUAAAGAUAGGAAAAGUUUGUUUUCAGGUAAUGAAGGAAGAGUCAUUGGUCAGAGCAUUCUUUUCAAAUUGUAUGCAUAAUGAAACUCUUCACAGAGGAUUAUAUUGCAUAGAAGGAGAAUUGAAAAAGUUGGAGAUAGAUGGGAAAAAGUUUAAUGUCUCCACUAUGGGCAUAGAGCGUUUAAAAACACUACCUCAGCAAUUUAAUCUCACACAGAUAGACCAUUUUCCUUGGAAAACAUGGACUGAAGAAAUAAAGAAAGAUAAGGGAUUAUUGGCCAUAUUAAAACAACAAUUGAAAGAUGCCGAAAUUGUUUUCCAACAUAAACAAGGUGAAUUAGAACAAAUUCAACAUCAAUGGAAUGAUAUGUCUGGAGUUAGUUGGUGGUCAAAUUUUAAAAAAUCAGUAAAUAUGUGGUCACAAUCUUCAGUAAAAUCCGCAGCUGGGAAUAUAUUGUUGAAUCCAAUUGUUAUUAUAGCUAUACUUGUUUUAUUAUGUAUUAUUUAUCAAAGUUUUCUUAUGUGUAGAAUAAGUAAGAUAUAUAAACAUGUUAAGUAUGAAGUAGAUAAGGGAGAUGGAAUAUUAAGGGAAUUGAUAAAAAGGGCACAAUCCUCUCAUUCCAUAACAAAUGUAGAGAAAAGGGUGUCUCAUGCUAAUGAUUAUCAUAUGGUCCCAGGUAAAGUGUGAUGUGAUUGUAGUAUAAAUGUGAUACGAAUGUGAUACGAAUGGUGAGUAAAUGUGUAUAUUUGAAAAGAUAUGAUAAGGAUAUUAUCCUAUCAUCAGGGGGAAUUGUAAAA